rnacentral:rRNA from 1 species
AACGAACGCUGGCGGCGCGCCUAACACAUGCAAGUCGAACGAGAAGGCGUAGCAAUACGCUUGUACAGUGGCGAACGGGUGAGGAACACGUGGGUAACCUACCCUCGAGUGGGGAAUAACCAACCGAAAGGUUGGCUAAUGCCGCGUAAGCUUCCAUCUCUUCGGAGGUGGAAGGAAAGCUGUACCGUGGGUACAGCGCUCAAGGAUGGGCUCACGUCCUAUCAGCUUGUUGGAGGGUAACGGCCUACCAAGGCAACGACGGGUAGCUGGUCUGAGAGGACGAUCAGCCACACUGGCACUGCGACACGGGCCAGACUCCUACGGGAGGCAGCAGUGAGGAAUAUUGCGCAAUGGGCGAAAGCCUGACGCAGCGACGCCGCGUGGGGGAGUGAAGGUC